GGAGGAGUCGGAUAGUGGUCCAUUCCGUUCGCUUGGAAAGCGAAUGUGCUUCGGCACACGUGGGUUCGAAUCCCACCUCCUCCG
rnacentral:tRNA from 1 species